UACAGGGGGCGCGAGCGUUGCUCGGAAUCACUGGGCGUAAAGCGUACGCAGGCGGGUCGAUAAGUCCGUUGUGAAAUCCCGGGGCUCAACCCCGGAAAUGCGAUGGAGACUGCCGAUCUUGAGUACGGGAGAGGGGAGCGGAAUUCCUGGUGUAGAGGUGAAAUUCGUAGAUAUCAGGAGGAACACCGGUGGCGAAAGCGGCUCCCUGGCCCGAUACUGACGCUCAUGUACGAAAGCGUGGGGAGCAAACAGG
rnacentral:rRNA from 1 species